rnacentral:misc_RNA from 1 species
AAGUCGUAACAAGGUUUCCGUAGGUGAACCUGCGGAAGGAUCAUUAAUGGGAUUACAGGGGGUUGAUGCUGGCAGCUUGGCUGCAAUGUGCUCACUCUUCUGAUUUAUUUCACACAUGUGCACUUGGUUUUCUCAAAGGUAGCGCCUUUGGAAAUUAAUUAUAAAACUCCCUUUGUACUUUGAAUGCUUGUCUGCCGCAAGGCAAAAUAUUAUAACAACUUUUAACAAUGGAUCUCUUGGCUCUU